CUACGGGUGGCAGCAGUGGGGAAUAUUGGACAAUGGGCGAAAGCCUGAUCCAGCCAUGCCGCGUGUGUGAAGAAGGCCUUCGGGUUGUAAAGCACUUUCAGUGGGGAAGAAAGCCUUGGGGCUAAUACCCUCGAGGAAGGACAUCACCCACAGAAGAAGCACCGGCUAACUCCGUGCCAGCAGCCGCGGUAAUACGGAGGGUGCGAGCGUUAAUCGGAAUUACUGGGCGUAAAGCGCGCGUAGGCGGUCUGAUAAGCCGGUUGUGAAAGCCCCGGGCUCAACCUGGGAACGGCAUCCGGAACUGUCAGGCUAGAGUGCAGGAGAGGAAGGUAGAAUUCCCGGUGUAGCGGUGAAAUGCGUAGAGAUCGGGAGGAAUACCAGUGGCGAAGGCGGCCUUCUGGACUGACACUGACGCUGAGGUGCGAAAGCGUGGGUAGCAAACAGGAUUAGAUACCCCAUAGU
rnacentral:rRNA from 1 species